CCUACGGGUGGCAGCAGUGGGGGAUAUUGGACAAUGGGGGGAACCCUGAUCCAGCGACGCCGCGUGAGUGAAGAAGUAUCUCUGUAUGUAAAGCUCUAUCAGCAGGGAAGAAGAAAUGACGGUACCUGAGUAAGAAGCCCUGGCUAACUACGUGCCAGCAGCCGCGGGAAUACGUAGGGGGCAAGCGUUAUCCGGAAUUACUGGGUGUAAAGGGAGCGUAGUCGGUGAUGUAAGUCUGGAGUGAAAGGCGGGGGCCCAACCCCCGGACUGCUCUGGACACUAUGUCGCUGGAGUGCAGGAGAGGUGGGCGGAAUUCGUGGUGUAGCGGUGAAAUGCGUAGAUAUUAGGAGGAACACCAGUGGCGAAGGCAGCUCACUGGACUGUAACUGACGUUGAGGCUCGAAAGCGUGGGGAGCGAACAGGAUUAGAUACCCCAGUAGUC
rnacentral:rRNA from 1 species